ensembl:lncRNA
GCCCCUAUGACAUUUCUCUCGGGGAUCUCUGGGCUCCUCAGGUAUCCAUCACUGGACCACGACAACUUUAUCUUCUGGAGGGGAUCGGUGACCCAGCCUGGAAGUGCAGAUGUGGGACAGGAGACAGGAGUGAGCUGGCAGGUACUUUAGUGCUUGAGCUGGCUGGCUCCAGUCAGGACUGCAGUUUAAAUGAUGACCUGGCGGUAGGAGAGCUGUGACCUUGGGGAAGUCACCACCUCUCGGGGUUGUGGAGUGGCACAGAUGAGAAUUUGCUCGCCACAUAGGCUGUGGGCUCGCUGCCUGCCCACCCGACUGCUGGAAAACACUGGAGCUCUUGGGGAAAAGGAGGGCGUCAGCCCGAAACAAACAUAUUUACAGGGGCUGUUAACAUGAUUGUAACUGCAGGUCUUAGAGCAACAAUGACUAUUAGAGAAUCCAACUGGAACUUCACAUUAAGAAACCAAUCACAUUAAGGAAAGAAUGGCAUGUUGGGCAGCAGGUGGACAGUUGGAACAGCCGGAGAGCAUGUGGAAAGUUACCAGAAGGUCCAGCUGCCGUCAAGAAGGCUUCCCAGGGGCUUAUUGGGCCUGACAAGGAUGCAGGAGCCGGAGGAAAAGGCAGGCGCCCACAGACAGAACUCUGUGCCCGUCUGUGCAAGCAGGUUUCUUUAACAAAGUCAUGAGAAAGAGAUUUUACAGAGGCUGAGGCUGUCUGAGGAGAAAAGAGAUUGAACACCACAGACAAAGCCGUCUGUUUCCUAGGAGUGUCCUGGCCAGGCCAGGCCUCCCCGAGCUCAGGCGUGAUGGAGGGUGCAGUGCCCCCGGGCAACCUCCCAAACCUUCCUCCUCGUGUUUUGAAAGCAUUAAUCUGAGUCUUAUUCAAUAAUAGCAUUUUCCUGUCCGCCCUUUUUAGACGUACAGGAUGGUCAUGUAUGACAGAAAUGCCAACAGUGAGAAAAGUCCAGAAACAGGGUGGAUUCUUUGAGGAAAAGAGGUAAAAUCGACAAGAGAUUUUGGUGGGGCUGUGGGUGAUGUGUGAAGAGGUGCACAGCGGAAUAGCCUGGCGUGAUACUGUGAUUUAUAAGAAGAAAGGUGUAUUUGGUCAUCCUGUUUCUGGCACAGAGCUCCUAAAACCCUCGGCAUUUCCUUAAUGACAAGAGCCAUAAAAGUGUCUUGAUAUUUACAACAAACCCCUUUCAACUACCCCUGAGUUUAUGUUAAUGAAGUGACUUUUGGAAAGGUGCUAAGGAUGGGGGCUGGUUGUCAGGAGAACCAACCACGUGAUUAGAGGGUGGGAAGUUUCAGUCCCGCCUCGUCCUCUCGGGAGGAGAGAGGGACUGAAGAUUGAUUCAAUCACUAAUGGCAGAUCAGUCAUGCCUAUGUAACGAAGCCUCCAAAAAACCCAAAAGGACAGGUUUCGGAGAGCUUCCUGGUCGGUGACCACGUGGGGAUUUGGGGAGAGGGGGUCUCUCAAACAGCAUGGAAGCUCCGCUCCCUUUUCUCAUACCUUGCCUUAUGUACAUCUUCCAUCAGGCUGUUCCUGAAUUACAUCCUUUUAUAAUUAAACGGUGAUCUAGUAAGUAAAAUGUUUCUAUGAGCCACUCUAGCAAAUUAAUAGAACCCAAGGAAGAGGUCGUGGGAACCUCUGAUCUGUAGCUGGUAGGUCAGAAGCACAGGUGACAACCUGGACAUGGCAUCUGAAGGGGGAGAGGGGUGUCUUGUAGGAUUGAGCCCUUAACCUGUGGGAUCUGAUGCUGUCUCCAGGUAGACAGUGUCAGGAUUGAGUUGAAUUUUAGGACAUCCAGCUGGUAACAGAGAAUUGCUUGGUGUGGGGGAAAAAACCCACGCUUCGGAACUGGUGUCAGGAUCCUACCUGAGGAACUUUUUCAUAACACAGUGAGCGGCAGUGACCUGCAAAGAGAAUCAGGUUAGGGGAGUGGGGGGAUCUGUGUAUUGAAAAGCUCCCUCUCCAAGGAUGUUCGGAUGAAGACCCCCCGGGAGAUGAGAGGCAGCCAGAGAGGGGCCUGGGCUACCAGAGAGAACUCCAGGAGGUGGGAAAUAUGCCAGCAUGUACGCCUUGAGACCAGGAACCUUUUCCAAUUCACAUAGAAUCCACGCAUCUUAGAUAAAUAAAAAACAUUAAUUCUGCAUUCAUUUAUUCCAGAAAUACAACUUCAUUUCUCUCCCACCCCAACACCUUUUCCUCCCUCUCUCAUGCACACAACAUGCAGAGUAAAUUCCACAUCUCGAUAGAUGACAGCCAGUGCUGGCUCCGCACAGCAGCCGCUGCCCAACAAGAGCAAGGCUGCCUCCCGCAUCCGUUAACGGCACCAAUCACCACGGUAUUGUCAUGGUCAGUUUUCAAUCCAUUUCGAGAGUCUCGCUGGCCUCGUUCUCUGAGUCUGUGGCACAGUUAGAUCUGACCAGCACAUUUCCCUUAAAGAAAGCACAAGAGAAAAAUCUUUAGCAACAGCCCAGUAUAAAUGUAUUAUAUUCUGGGAAAAUAGACUAUUGUAAAAGCCUACUUAAUACCUUUACUCCAUCCAAGCCAAGUGAACGCUGCCCUUUACAAACUCCUGGUUAUUGCCUCCUUGUUAUUGCCAUGUACCCCGCCAGAAAUGACCUUCCCAGGCCAUGGACAUGCUGUUGUGGAAAGAGCUCUUGUUCUGGAGCAGGCAAGGACCAAGUUCAAGCCCAGCUCAUGCUUACCCAGCUGUGGGUCUCUUUCCCUACUCAGCGAAUGAGGAUAACAGUAUCCACCUCAAGGGGAUGUCAUGAGGAUUAAGUGAGGUAACUUCUGGCCCCCAGGUUCUACAGUUUAGCUGCCCAAGCCAUAGAAGAUUCUAGAAGGCAACCUCUUUCCCAGGCCAUAACCAAACCAUAGUCAGCUGAAUGAACUUAGGGAGCUGAAUAAGCAUACAGGGCUCCAAGUCUGUAGCAGGAACCCUAACGGUAGGGAGGGAGGGCAGUAGGAGGGGACCCAUGAUGUCAUAAACCCUAGACAAGGAGUAAGACAAGUAAUGCAGCAGAAUGGGAGCCUUCCUUGCAUCCCGUCUCCCUCUCUUCCUCAGUAUUAGACUGAGUUUGUGGGGGUGGCAAUAUGCCCAGAUGAAAAACUAUGUUUCCCAGCCUACUCUGAAAACAAGAAUGGCCACAUAACUAAAUUCCAGCCAAUGGUAUGUAGGCAUAAGUUAUUCAAUGAGACAGUUGGGUAAGUUCCUUAAGGAGCAAUUGACUCAACUGGGAAGCUCUUUAACAUUUCUUCCUUCCUUCUUGCUAACUGGAACUCAGACAUGAUGACAGGAGCUGCAGAGACUAUCUUGGGACCAUGAGGCAGCCCUGAGGAUGAGAGUGCAGAGAGCUAAAAGGUGUUUGGGAUGAUGAUGUCCACCUCCAGAUUUAUUUCAUGUGGGAGAAAAGUAAAUCCCAAUCACUUGUUAUUUCAGGCCUCUGUUACUAGGACAGUGUGGUGGCCGGCUUCCAAGUUGGCUCCCAUUGUUCCUCAUCUCCUGGUAUUCAUGCUCUUGUGUAGUCCUUUCCCACACUGGAUAGGGCUGACCUGUGUAACCAGCAGGAUAUUGAGGAAAUGAUGGGAUGUGACUUCUGAGGUUAGGUUAUAAAAGACAUAGGGGGUUCUGCCUUACUUUCUCUUGGAUCACUCACUCUGGGGGACAUCAACUGCCAUGUCAUGAGGGCAUUCAAACAAUCCUCUGGAAAAGUCCACGUGGCAAGAAGCUGAGGCCCCUCCCCCAAAGCCAGCGUCAACUUGCCGGCCAUGUGAAUGAACUCUUAGAAGCAGAUUCUCUAGUUCAUGAAGCCUUCAGAUGAUCGAAGCCCCAGUCGACAUCUUGACUGCAAUCUCAAUGAUUGAGACCUCAAGCCAGAACUCCCAAGUAAGCUGCCCCUGAACUUUUGACCCACAUAAACUGUGAGACAAUAAGUGUUUGUUGUUGUUUUAAGACCCUAAAUUUGUUAAGCAGCAAUAGAUAACUAAUACAUAGACAUACUCAAUUCCUAACUGAUACAAAACCUUAGGGGUCAACUUGGCAUGGCCACAUGUGACAGCUGGCUGAUCCGUACUCUCCACCUGCCAAACCCCCAUCCUCAGAGGCGCAGCUUCCCUCCUCCUCUUGCCACUUACCCCGAACACAGGUCUACUCUGUUCCACUUGAGGAGGGAUCUCUGCCACUCUUUCUCCUCCAAACUUGCUCAGCUGCAGGAGUUCUCACUUCCACACCACCUCAUCCCUAGGUAUCCACAGCCGCCCCCCUACCCCAGUCCAUUAUAUGGUGAGCUUACCAACAUUCCGGGUGACGGAAAAUGGGGUGGCCCUGUGAGUUAGCUGGGAGCUGAGACAGGUUUUGGGGAAGAGAGAGGACUCCCUGAGCCAACUGCCUCUGUGGGCUCUCCUCACCAGCCUCACACAGUAGACAACUAGUCUUGCUCAUUAAAACUGGCUCCCUCAGGACUCCUGGAACAGAGAAACGGAGCUGGAAAAGAUAAAACUCCUCAGGUCUCUUCCUGGAGCUUCCACUCCAGCUGCCCUCUCCAAAGCCGUGGAAGUGUAUCCAAUCUGAGGGGUUGGAAAAUGAGCGCACAAUGCUUGAAAAUUCUUCUUACACUAAGCUCUCUGAAAGUGAGGACCAGCAAUGUGCUGCUGCUUCUUUUCUCAUUCUAUGUUGGACCCUGUCCCUUCAAAGAAGGAGCUAACUUUUCUAAUUGCCAUUUCGGCAGGGAAGGAAGUUUCUUAAGAUAGAAGUGGAAAAAAAAAAUGAGUACAGGAAGGGAUCAGUUAAGAAUUUGGACAUAUAUUGUACGUUAGGGUUUUCCAGAGAAACAGAACCAAUAGGAUGAGAUUUAUCAUGAGGACUUGGUUUACACGGUUAUGAGGCUGAGAAGUCCCAUGUUCUGCCAUCUGCAAGCUGGAGACCCAGGAAAUUCCAGCCUGAAUCCAAAGGCCUAAGAGCCAGGAGCAGCGAUGGUAUAAGUCCCAGUCUAAGAGCAGGAGACCUACGUCUUAGCUCAAACAGUCAGGCAGAGGGAGAGAACCUUCCUCCACGUUUCUUGUCCUGUUUGGACCUUCAACUGGUUGGAUGAUGCCCACCCACAUGGGGAGGGCAAUCUGCUUUAUCAAUGGAAUUUACCAAUUCAAAUGCUAAUUAAUCUGUUCCGGAAACACCUUCACAGACACACCCAGAAAUAAUGUUUAACCUGAUAUCUGGGCAUCCCAUGAAAUAGUCAAGUGGACACAUAAAAUUAACCAUCACAUAAAUAAAAGCUUGCUUAUGGAGCACAUGCCAUUCCCUGCCUCACACCCAGUGCUCUGCGGACAAGGACCUCUCUAUACAUGCCAUGCUGGGUUUUCCCUUUUUCUGUGCUCUUCUGCCCCAAAUGGUCUUUUCUCAUCUUCAUAUCUGGCUAAGUCCUGCUCGCACUUUAAGACUCAGUCUAAGCAAUCUCUCAGGGUGUGGUAGGAGCCACUCUGGACAAUUCCAUAAUGUCUCAUGCUCUUACCCACUGUACGUUGCUCCCAUGACACUCUGUGCACAGAUCAUCAGUCUUACAUCAUUGACUCCAUGUGUAUCUAUCUCCCCCAUCACUAUGAGCACUUAGGACAGGAGCUUUGCCUAUAUCACUUCUGCAUACCCAGCCCCUUUCUAGAUUCUAGAACAGUCUAGCAAUAGUCUAUCUAGCAAUAUCUAUCUAGCAAUCGUUUAUCUUAAUAAAUGUGUGCUGAGUGAAUAAAUGAUUGAAUAAGUGAAUCAAUAUGUAAUAUGCACUGCACAGUGGAACACUAUCAUUUCCACUCUUAGACCAACUUCUAUUUGAUUUUCUUAAGCUGUGAACAUUGUCCCAAAGUGACAUUUGGGGGCUGCUCCCCAGCCCUGUGAUUUCCUACUCUUAAAGCUGGUCUUUAAACCGCCACACUGAGGAGCAAGAAUUCCAUUUCACUUCAUUUUUCUAACUCAGAAAAAUCUAGCACUGACGACUCUUCAGAGUGGUGAGAAGUUCAAUCUCAGUCACAUUCAGGGGUGUCAAAGUAUAACUUUCAAAAUGCUAAAAAUGUAAUUUUCAUGUAAGUAUAUAAGGAGCACGUGUCAAAAGAUUUACAUAAUUCAUUAAUGAGGACAGGCAGAUCGAAAAACCUGGUUCAAAGGAUGACAAGAGAAAAUGAUGUAGGGAGAGAGUCAGUGAAAAAGGGAACCAGGAAUAAGAUUGCCACAUUGGAUAUAAAAUUGGUCAACGCUCUACACAGCAAUAAAGCCCUUACUCUUGGGGUUGCCUUCACUACCAAACAGAUUCACUUGCAUUUCAACCAGACAAAAAUCAGUCACCUCCUUUCAGUUUUCUACAAGCUAACAUCUAACUUUACGGAAUCUGGGCCUUAGUGACCAUAAAGAGCAAGCUCAACAAAGUUACCUUCCUGGAGAGAAGGCAAGUGAACUCUAUUCUGGAAAUAAUUCUACCAAGAAAGAGGUUAGAAUGAGAGAGUUAAGGUGCAGCUCGGGGAUUUAUACGCUUAAAAUGAACGUGAGAAUGAGACUAAACUGGAUUUAGACACAAUGUGGAUGCACAGCAGGGCAGCGGUCCAGGGCAACAUGACCUGGUGAAUAAAGGACAUUAGAGAGGAGGCCAGUGCCGAUGUGUAUGCAAAAAAGAGAAGAAACAAAAGACCAGGUAUUUUCAAAUAGUGAUUUGAUGAAAAGACUAGCAAAUUAUAUUGGGCAAGUGCCCAAAAUGUGCCUUGAUAAAGUCCUAAGGAAGGGGUUUGUUGCGGGUUUAUGAUGUGUGCCCAGACCCUCCGCUCUGGGCUUCUCUGCUGGAAGAACCGUCUACAGAAGAGAAAACUCUAAGUGUGAAAUAAAAGAAAGCUUCCCACUGCCUCCCCUCACCCCAUUCCCCCAAACCUAAAAGGCAGGGCCUGCAGCACAGACUCAGAGCCCCUCGCUCACCACCUCACAGAAGCGGGAAAUGCCAGAGCUCUGAAAACCAAAAAUUUGAUGACAAACUUGAUGUGAACUGAUGGGAGCUGAACGGAACUGAACUCUGGCUUAAACUACAGACAUUGUCUCACCAUUCUGGAGGCUGGGAAGUCCCAGAUCAAGGUGCCGGCAGAUUCCGUUCUCGACGAGUACCCUCUUCCUGGCUCACAGACAGCUGCCUUCUCACAGUGUCCUCACAUGGUGGAGAGAGGGAGUUCUGGUGUCACUUCAUCUUCUAAGGGCGCUAACCCCAUCACGGGAACCCCACCCUCACAACCUCAUAGAAACCUAAUUACCUCCCAAAUACCCCAGUUCCAAAUACCAUAUAGUCUUCAACAUACAAAUUUGAGGGGGACAAAAUUCAGUCCAUUACAGCAUCUGGCCCUACAGGUUUUAAGCUCAGGGGUGUGCUUCUAUACCACACCCAGAGAUUAUCACUGUUAACAUUUUGGUACCUAAUCUGAUUUUUCAAAUUUCCCUGUUGUUGGAUGUUUUCAAUUUUUCCUCUUUAAAAAGAAUUCUGUGAUGAUUAUUUCCAUAUGAUAAAUUCCUAAAAGCAGAACCAGAGUAAAGGACCAUACAUGUCUUAAGGCUCUUGAGUCGUGUUGCCAAGUUGCUUUCCAGCUUUGCUGGCCAGUAUUGAAGCAGGGCUCUCUCAGCACAGCGCUUGCUGAGUCUUACUGUUACGGUCUAAUUUUUUGCUUAUAGAAAACAAGCAUGUGUGCAUGACACAGUAUUUGAGUAGCACAGAAAUGUAUACACCCUUGCUGCCACCUUUCAAUCACUUUCCCCAGAGGGAGGUUAACCACGUUUCACAUGUUUUCCUUAAAUCUCUCUUCGCCUUUGCCGCUGCUUCCACUAACACUCCCCCAUCCUGGGCCUUCAGAGGCCAGAUGAGGAUAAUGACUUUCGUUAUAUUUCAGACUUAGGCUUCCCUCAGCCAUUUAAUUUCUGGACUUUGCUAAUUUUGACUAUUCUAAAGGCAUUUAAAAAUUUCCCUCUCUGCCACCUAUUUUCUUAUUUUAGCAGGAUUUUACAUCCCCUGGGUAUCCAGCCUGGCUGAGAAACUAGAGAAAAGGAAGAUUAAAAUUUGUAAACCCCAUUAGGUCUCUGACUACCAGUGUGAUUGGCAAGAUCUUACCCAAACCAAAGGCUGAGGCCAUGUUUGAGAAGACGCCUGCUGAGGGGCAAGUCUCCUCCGGCUUCAGCAAAGACUUUGCCUUUAAAGUCUGGACUAGAUCUCUUGGGGUGGGUGCAGGGAAGAGAGACGCCCUGUGUUGGUGCUCUAUGAUACCACAUGAUUGCAGUGAGGGUCAUGGUGG